CCCCCGGGCGGGGGAAGGCGGGACUGUGGCGGCCUGUCCCGGGUCUGACCGAGCUCCUGGGGCAGAAGGUGUUUGGAAUGAGGCUUGGAAAUUGUGCUCCGUGUGGAGUGUGUCGGCUUGAUGUAGUGUGACCCCGGGCUCACAAGCCCCUUUGAGCGGUUUGCUUAAAGUAUGAAGAUGGAAGCCUGAUGUCUGGAUGCUGGAAGCUCUUCUGUUGGUGCCACCAAAGAGCAGGAGUAUGAGAGGCUUAAAACUGCUCAGGAACUUUGGAUAGACAGAUACCUCAUUUGGAUUAUCUUGGAUUGGGCAUCUUGAUAUAAAAUCAAAUUAGUGCUAAUAUUUCUGCCUAAUGAGAAAAGGAAAAGAGAACUGCACCAAAAACUCUGAGUAAAGAGUCAAGAAGUCACUCAAGUGAAGACUUACUGCCCAGUAAGUCUGCUUUUUGGAAGCUGCAUUAGGAAGUCUGGAGAAGACUGGAGGGAUAAUUAUGGCCUUGCUUCUCUUUCCUGUUGGGAGUGCCUCCAUGACAUUUUGCAGGAAAGUUGCCCUGCAGGGAGUUAAUUGAGAUGAGCAGUUGCUAAGAGGAGAGAGUCUCCAUGAACGUCCCAGUGAAGAGGAGUCUGUGGCUCGGCACCAGAAGAUUCAUACGGAAAAGGGACGUGAAUGCUCCAGAUUCUUACUGAAGAAUGGCACAGAAAUUUUGCAUGAAAGGAAGACUACUUUUAUUAGGAAAAACUGUCAGAAUAGGGAAAAAUCCACUGGGUCCAAGGUUAUGAAAAGCUGUAUCAGUUUCAGGUCUGCAGCUGGAGAGGAACUGCUGGGGAGGAGACUUGUUACUUACCUGUAUACAGCACCAAGAACCACCCUGACUUCCCCUGCCACACCUUGAGCAAAGCUCUGUCACCACUCCAGGCAUUUGCUGCUGCUUUGGCAGCAGUAACCCAGAUUUUCAGUAGCUGAGC